GCAAACCAUGAGUGACCAUAUUUACAUUGGUUUUGCACAAUUUAUAUAAACAAGAUCAGAAACACUCCUAUUGCAUUAAUUUGAUUUACAGUUUUGUUCUUGUUUUCUUUUUAGACCAACUGGCCAGGGUAAACACAUACACUGUCAAGUAUGCAGCAAGGGUGGGAUAAACGUUAUGACCAUCACACAAGGGAUACCAUAUAGGGGUAACUAUGCCUGUUGCCUGUUUUUCCUCUGCUGCUGCCACUGCCACUGCCACUGCCAAAAGCCAAGCAGGUAGUGAAGGCUGGAAGGUACAGUGAUAAGGACUGAAAAGGAGAAAACACUUGCCAGAAAGUAAUCAAAUAAGAGCAUGAGGAAGACAAGAAUAACAGCUGUGAAGAAGCCAGAGAUCAUAACAAGGGCAACACCAAGAAAAGAACCCAGGAAACAUCUGGGCAAAACAGUGUAGUGGAGAGAUAAGGAGAGCCCCCAGAAGAAGCCAAAGCUAAGAGGACAUGAAACAAGAGAAUUGAAAGUGGAAAACAAGUGCCUGAACAAGAAUUUUAAAUGAGCAGAGAAAUUGAUUCCUACAAUCAAACCAAACUGUACAGUGAUGACAACAGAUGCUUUCUGUGAGCUGGAGCCACAUAGGCACAUCUUUCUUAUGAGACAAAUCUGUUUAAGACAGAGGUUCCUCUUCAGUCUCAAAAGGUCACCACCCAAGAUGGAAGUGUCAAGGACUCUAUUUAUGCAGCCAUUGUAGGGCUGCAACUAGGGAGUUCAAGUUCAACAAUUUCCAUUCUGAAGAUUUUUGUUUAACUUUAAAGAAAUAUCCUGUGUGCUUAUAGUUGAAACUAAAGUUAUUUUAUUUUAUUUCUUAUUUCAAACAAUGUGUGAUUGAAGUGGCUAUAU
rnacentral:lncRNA from 1 species